rnacentral:snRNA from 1 species
GUACUCGCUUUGGCGGUACAUAUGCUAAAAUGGGGACGAUACAGAGAAGAUUAGCAUGGCCUCUGCGCAAGGAUAACACUCAAAAUCGUGAAGCGUUCCAUAUUUCG